GACGCUCUCCCCAAGGACACAAGCCAUGCAUGCCCGCACACCCGGGAGGCGGCGGACGGCUCAGGACAAACGGUUGCACCCCCCGCGGCGGUCCCUGCUAGCCGGACACCGCUGGCAACCCGGCGCCAAGACGUGCGCGCAAGUGCGGGCGCCCGCGGGCGAGCAGCGUGACGCAGAAGUGCCUUCAAUCACU
rnacentral:rRNA from 1 species